rnacentral:misc_RNA from 1 species
UCGUAACAAGGUUUCCGUAGGUGAACCUGCGGAAGGAUCAUUACAGAAUGAAAAGUGCUUAACUGCAUUUUUUCUUACACAUGUGUUUUUCUUUUUUUGAAAACUUUGCUUUGGUAGGCCUUCUAUAUGGGGCCUGCCAGAGAUUAAACUCAACCAAAUUUUAUUUAAUGUCAACCGAUUAUUUAAUAGUCAAAACUUUCAACAACGGAUCUCUUGGUUCUCGCAUCGAUGAAGAACGCAGCGAAAUGCGAUAAGUAAUAUGAAUUGCAGAUAUUCGUGAAUCAUCGAAUCUUUGAACGCACAUUGCGCCCUUUGGUAUUCCAAAGGGCAUGCCUGUUUGAGCGUCAUUUCUCCCUCAAACCCUCGGGUUUGGUGUUGAGCGAUACGCUGGGUUUGCUUGAAAGAAAGGCGGAGUAUAAACUAAUGGAUAGGUUUUUUCCACUCAUUGGUACAAACUCCAAAACUUCUUCCAAAUUCGACCUCAAAUCAGGUAGGACUACCCGCUGAACUUAAGCAUAUCAAUAAGCGGAGGA